AAAGAUGACAGAUGGAAGCCUCAAGCCCGAUGGAACAAAAAGGAAUAGAUCGGAUGCUCACGAACUAUUCCAAAGAAGUAGAGGGAUCUUGUGCAGUAGAGGGCUCUUGCGCAGCUCCCUUACCAAGGACAUCGACGACAAUGUCAGGCUGAGUAAUUAUGUCAAGAACUUUCUCCAAGUUCUGUUGAAUCUUAGAACGUUCGGUGCAGAAACGGUCUUUCUCGUCUAUAGCUUUAUCGUAACAU
rnacentral:lncRNA from 1 species